ensembl:lncRNA
CAGGAAGGUUUAUUACAACCGCUAACGGGGCAGUCCCGCUUCCUUUCUGUAGUGUGAGUUAGUCAGUUCCCGCUUUACCGAGUCCCGAGGACGAGUGACUGCUCUCUAAGCCUCAGUUGCUUCCGUUGUAGAAUGGGAUUAAGUUUUCACCUACCUUAUGGGAUGUUAAGGACAAAAUGAAAUGUCCUGGGAAACCUAGCAGGAACUCAGGCCCCCAUGAGGAGAAGGGGAGGCGGCCUGCGGGGGGAACCUGGCCUUCUGUCCUGGGGACACACCGUCCUUCACCUCUAGGAGCAGACAGACAUGGCCUAGGGCUGCUGAAACAGGACCCAGCUUUUCUUCUGCCCCGCGCUGGGGCAGACGCAGACCCUGCAGGAGAGUCUUGCCUUCUCUCCCUUUUCAGGUCCCUAAAAGAAUUCUCUGAAGGCUUUCAGGUCCCUAAAAUAAUUCUCUGAAGGCUGGACUUAGUGGGGAUCCUGCCUUCAUCUCCCCCAGUUUAUCCCACCUACUUUGCUGCUAGUGAAGAUCUUUGAAGGAGAAAAAGAAAAAAAAAAAAAACCAAAAACUUUGCACAUUGUGAAAAAAGAUAUGAAAUGGAAGGGAAAAGAAGGGAGUUGCAGACAUUCAGACAGAGGGUCCUGGCUCUGAACCUCACAGACCUCUGAGUGGAAAAGGAGAGAAAGGAGCAGCUGUGGUGUCUGUGGAGGAAAGUAGGAGAAUAUGGCCUUCAUGGAGUAGUCCAGAGAGCUCCCGCUGCCUGUGCCUGGCAGGCUGGACACACACAUCUUGCAUCCUGGUUGUGCCCUGGGUCUGCAGCGUGGUGCCCUUCCGUGCAGAUUUGAUGGACUUCUCUGCCUCUCCUUGGAAACAUGUAAGCAGAAACUGGGCCAGAGAAACCACCCCUGAAUGAAGAAAAGGAUGUGGCACUAGCUGGAUGAUAAAAGAUUAGGAGAAUCUCCAAACACAGACCUUAAAUCCACAAAUCCAG